UUGAUUACGUCCCUGCCCUUUGUACACACCGCCCGUCGCUGCCCGGGACUGAGCCAUUUCGAGAAACAUGGGGACUGCUGAUCCGGUGGCUUCGGCCUCCGCUUCGGUGGAAACCAAUUUAAUCGCAGUGGCUUGAACCGGGCAAAAGUCGUAACAAGGUAGCUGUAGGUGAACCUGCUGCUGGAUCAUUACACGUACCGUGAUGGU
rnacentral:rRNA from 1 species